rnacentral:rRNA from 1 species
AUGUUUCUAGCUAAAUCCAAGGAAGUGAUGCAAUAUCAGGUCAUGGAGGGGAGGAAGGACAUGCAAGAGUCAGACGCUGCACCUGUUGUUCAAGUACCCAGAGAGCCUGCCAUCGUUAUCAAUGGUGUCCCAAACUUUCCUCCUGAUUUCGCAUCUGGUUCACAACUUGCAGUAAGAGAUGCUCCGCGGUCUCGAGUUGAUCACCGCUUUGGUGAAUGGCUAGUAGAGCGGAAAGUGAGGAAGUGGUUUGGAGACAAGUACUAUGCAGGGAACGUUGUCUGGUAUGACAGUGUAAACAAUUGGUACACCGUUGUCUAUGAAGACGGAGACCAGGAAGAUCUUGAGUGGCACGAACUGGAGGAGAUCCUGCUACCGUUGGACAUAACCAUUCCACUCAACACACUUGUGAUGGACAAAUUCAGACAUCAGAAUCUUGCUCCCGACUACAGAACUUAUGUUGCUAGCAAUCAGAUGGUGGUCAGAGCGGUACAUGGCCAACAGUCAAACAACCCACCACUACCAGGGUGGCUUCAGGCGUCAGCAUCAGCAGGAGAAAAUGCUCUAGUAUGUCUGAAACCUAGUGAUCAACCUAAGAAAAGGGGCAGGCCUCGAAAGGAUAGAAGUACAUCAGGUGAUAUUCAACCUGUGCCCAAAACAACAGGUGAUAUUCAACCUAAAAAGAGAGGCAGACCUCCAAAAGAACCUGGAGAGAAGAGUAUUGAUAGGCGCAAAUUAGAGACUGUCAGGGCAGAAAAACUGAAGAGAGAAAGCAUGCUUCUGCGAGGGCCACCACCUGGAAGCCAGUCAUUCUAA